rnacentral:rRNA from 1 species
GAUGAACGCUGGCGGCGUGCCUAAUACAUGCAAGUCGAGCGAACGGACGAGAAGCUUGCUUCUCUGAUGUUAGCGGCGGACGGGUGAGUAACACGUGGAUAACCUACCUAUAAGACUGGGAUAACUUCGGGAAACCGUAGCUAAUACCGGAUAAUAUUUUGAGCCGCAUGGUUCAAAAGUGAAAGACGGUCUUGCUGUCACUUAUAGAUGGAUCCGCGCUGCAUUAGCUAGUUGGUAAGGUAACGGCUUACCAAGGCAACGAUGCAUAGCCGACCUGAGAGGGUGAUCGGCCACACUGGAACUGAGACACGGUCCAGACUCCUACGGGAGGCAGCAGUAGGGAAUCUUCCGCAAUGGGCGAAAGCCUGACGGAGCAGCGCCGCGUGAGUGAUGAAGGUCUUCGGAUCGUAAAACUCUGUUAUUAGGGAAGAACAUAUGUGUAAGUAACUGUGCACAUCUUGACGGUACCUAAUCAGAAAGCCACGGCUAACUACGUG